rnacentral:snoRNA from 1 species
UGGACCAAUGAUGACCACUGGUGUAGUUUGAGUCCUGGACGAUGAGCAUUAUGUGUCUGAAAUGCUAAGGUCCAA